rnacentral:rRNA from 1 species
UACGGGAGGCAGCAGGGGGGAAUAUUGCACAAUGGGCGCAAGCCUGAUGCAGCCAUGCCGCGUGUAUGAAGAAGGCCUUCGGGUUGUAAAGUACUUUCAGUCGUGAGGAAGGUGUUAAGGUUAAUAACCUUAGCAAUUGACGUUAGCGACAGAAGAAGCACCGGCUAACUCCGUGCCAGCAGCCGCGGUAAUACGGAGGGUGCGAGCGUUAAUCGGAAUUACUGGGCGUAAAGGGCACGCAGGCGGUUAAUUAAGUUGGAUGUGAAAUCCCCGGGCUUAACCUGGGAAUGGCAUUCAAGACUGGUUAGCUAGAGUCUUGUAGAGGGGGUAGAAUUCCAUGUGUAGCGGUGAAAUGCGUAGAGAUGUGGAGGAAUACCGGUGGCGAAGGCGGCCCCUGGACAAAGACUGACGCUCAUGUGCGAAAGCGUGGGGAGCAAACGAGGGAUUAGAUACC